rnacentral:lncRNA from 1 species
AUAUCCUCCCUAUGGUUUCGCACUUUUUCACUUUAGUACCCUGUAAUUUAAUGUGUAUCAGGUUAGUACCCUAUGGUUUCGUACUUUUAGUACCUUGUAGUUUCAAGUGUAUCAAAUUAGUACCCUGUGGUUUCAAUUUUUUCUUUUUAUUAUUUAUUUCGGGGUAUAUAAUUUAACGAAAUAUUAAACCACAUGGUACUAAAGUGAGAAACCACAUGAUACUAACUUGAUACACUUGAAACUAUAUGGUACUAAAGUAAAAAAGUGCGAAACCACAGGAUACUAACUUGAUACACUUUAAACCACAGGAUACUAAAGUAAGAAAGUGUGCAACCACGGGAAAGGUAUUUGAAGUUUCCCCCAUUUUUUUUAAAAAAAGGAGGUAGCAUGCUAUCCGUUUCGUUUAUUUCUUUUAUAAAUAAACUUAGCUGGAAAUGUGAUUCAACUAGGAUUCGUAUUUGAAAUCUCAAGUAUCAAUCACCAAGCUCUUUGCCAUUUGCGGCAGGAAUAGUCGGUUUCCUGUCGGUCCUUUUAAUUUGAGUGGCUUAUGCUUUUAU